rnacentral:rRNA from 1 species
AAUCAACGCUGGCGGCGUGCCUCAGACAUGCAAGUCGAACGAUUAAAGCUCUCUUCGGAGAGUGUAUAGAGUGGCGCACGGGUGAGUAACACGUAAGUAAUCUACCUUCGAGUGGGGAAUACCGUCCGGAAACGGACGCUAAUACCGCAUAAUGCAGCGGCAUCGUAAGAUGACAGUUGUUAAAGAUUUUAUCGCUUGAAGAGGAGCUUGCGGCAGAUUAGCUAGUUGGUAAGGUAAUGGCUUACCAAGGCUACGAUCUGUAGCUGGUCUGAGAGGACGGCCAGCCACACUGGGCACUGACACACGGGCCAGACUCCUACGGGAGGCAGCAGUGGGGAAUUUUGGGCAAUGGGCGAAAGCCUGACCCAGCAACGCCGCGUGAGGGAGGAAAUCCUUCGGGAUGUAAACCUCGCAAGCAAGGGAAGACAGCUAGAGAUUUAAUAAAUUUCUAGUCCGACGGUACCUUGCGUAAGCCACGGCUAACUACGUGCC